rnacentral:tRNA from 1 species
GCCUGGGUGGCUCAGUCGGUUAAGCGUCUGACUUUGGCUCAGGUCAUGAUCUCGCGGUCCGUGGGUUCAAGCCCCUCAUCGGGCU